rnacentral:rRNA from 1 species
UCCGUGGCUCAGGACACGCUGGCGGUGUGCUUCACACAUGCAAGUCGAACGAGGUAGCAAUACCUAGUGGCGGACGGGUGAGUAACGCGUGGGAAUCUGCCUUUAGAUGGGGGAUAACGGGUCGAAAGACUCGCUAAUACCGCAUAUGACGAAAGUUGAAAGGAGUAAUCCGUCUAAAGAUGAGCCCGCGUCCGAUUAGCUAGUUGGUAGAGUAAAAGCCUACCAAGGCGACGAUCGGUAGCUGGUCUGAGAGGAUGAUCAGCCACAAUGGGACUGAGACACGGCCCAUACUCCUACGGGAGGCAGCAGUGGGAAUUUUACGCAAUGGGCGAAAGCCUGACGUAGCGACACCGCGUGAGCGAAGAAGCCCCUUGGGGUGUAAAGCUCUGUCAGCUGGAACGAAAAAAAUGACGGUACCAGCAGAGGAAGCAUCGGCUAACUACGUG